GCAGGUGGAGCUCGUUAGCCGUGGUAGGCAAUCUGCCUAGGAGAGCAAACUCUAUACAAAUCCGGGCAGGUGAGGCUCGUUAGCCGUGGAAGGCAAUUCACCUAGGAGAGCAAACUCUAAACAAACCCGGGCAGGUGAGGCUCGUUAGCCGUGGUAGGCAAUUCACCUAGGAGAGCAAACUCUAAACAAACCCGGGCAGGUGGAGCUCGUUAGCCGUGGGAGGCAAUUCACCUAGGAGAGCAAACUCUAAACAAACCCGGGCAG